UGAGGAAUAUUGGACAAUGGGCGGAAGCCUGAUCCAGCCAUGCCGCGUGCAGGAAGAAGGUCCUAUGGAUUGUAAACUGCUUUUGUAUGGGAGCAAUAAGGGCUACGUGUAGCCCGAUGAGAGUACUAUACGAAUAAGCAUCGGCUAACUCCGUGCCAGCAGCCGCGGUAAUACGGAGGAUGCGAGCGUUAUCCGGAUUUAUUGGGUUUAAAGGGUGCGUAGGCGGCUAUGUAAGUCAGCGGUGAAAGUUUGCAGCUUAACUGUAAAAUUGCCGUUGAUACUGUGUAGCUAGAAAGUAGAUGAAGUGGUCGGAAUGUGUGGUGUAGCGGUGAAAUGCAUAGAUAUCACACAGAAUAUCGAUAGCGAAGGCAGGUCACUAAACUACCUUUGACGCUGAGGCACGAAAGUGUGGGGAUCAAACAGGAUUAGAUACCCUGGUAGUCCACACUGUAAACGAUGAUAACUAGUUGUCGG
rnacentral:rRNA from 1 species